CACUGGAAAAGACGCCUCCGUUCAAGUCGGGCGCCGAGAGAGGCAGCGGGACAGCCCGCGGUAGAAGAGUCUGGAUUAAUAAGGAAGAGUAGGAUGAAAUAGCACAGCUCAGGGGCUGCGUUUCUUUCUCGCUUCCACCUCUCCUGAAACACCUACAAGCAGCAGCUUUACGGUUAGAACGUGUAACUCCAAAAGACAGAACGCAGAUACUAUUUAAAGUAUGGCAGAGUGAGCACUUCAAACAAAACAUUUCCUGGGAGUUUCCAGUUCUUCAGUGCUUAGUUAACAGAAACUGCCACUUAAAUUACUACAUUGUACAAAACUCUUAUCUAUGUUUAUUCAUACAAAAGUAUACUUGAAGUUUUUUUGAUGGUUUAAAAACAAACCACAUGAGAUGCCAUGUGGCAAUUUCUCUCUAGUGAUCGCUGUGUAAAAUAUCCAUUUAUAUAUUUUGGAAUUAAUGAUCUACACUACUGUACUUUUGGUUUCAUUUUUUAAAUGCUGAAUGAGCUUAGUAUAUCAUGCCAAGUAAAACUGGAAUCAAUAUUCUGCAUUUUUAUUCCAUGUUCACAAUUGUAUUUCUGCUUAUGAACAAUGCAGCACUAACCACAACUGCACUAAAAUUGAUGUAAAUUGAUGAUAUCGCACUUUUAUCAUUAGAACAGUUUUGAAAACUUCUUGAAAGCAUCUUUGCAGGAAAUGCUCUGUUCCUAGUGUGGCCAAUAAACUUAUGAACUCAAGUUGUGUCAUUGCUGUACUAAUUUUUUUUUAAAUUUUUUUAUUAGUUUUUCAAAACAUUUUACAAAUUAAAAACCCCAAAUCCCAAUGAGGAACAUUAAAACAGUGCAAAAUUAAGAAUACAAUCACAAUAUGCUACAAAGGAAGAGAAUUUAACAAAAAAAAGCACCUACAUUAAAGACAAGUAAGCUUAGUAUCCUCCCCAAGCCCCACAACACAAGAAAAAACAACAGCAACUCCAGACCAACCACAACAAAAUAUAGAGACAGGACAGCCAAACUCCCAGACUGUGAAUACACUCAGCAACAGAGGAUAAUAAUGCCUUCUACCAGAAAAAAAAUAAGGAGCUAAAAGCAAGGGACCGAAAAGAAAAAAAAAACCCUAGUCAAGAGGAAGGUUAUGAAAGUACUCGAUAAAAGGUCCCCAGACCUUAUGGAACUUUAGAUCUGAAUUGAGAACUGAAUAAUGAAUUUUUUCGAGGUCCAAGCAGGCCAUGAUGUCGUUAAGCCAUUGAGCAUGAGUGGGCGGGACAACAUCUCUCCAUCUGAGGAGGAUCAAGCGUCUAGCCAGGAGAGAGGCAAAGGUCAGACCCAGACAUAAAUCUGUCUCACCCCAAAAACCGAACAGAGCAAUUAAGGGGUUUGGUUCUAGGUGCUGAUUCAGAAUACACGAUAACAUAGUGAAGACAUCUUUCCAGAUGUAAAGGGGGUUUCUUCUUUUUUUUGUUACUGUUGGGAAAGGGUUUCUUUUUGUUAACUAGCAGGAAUGCUAAUUUACUGAUAACGAAAAUGGUAUUCCUUUGUAAACCAAAUGGGGAUUAAUGUUCUUUCUUCUGAGUCUGUAAGCUUUUGUUGACGGGCUUUUGGGCAGAUCGGCGCGAGGGGGUCGAGAGAGAGGACGCAAUGCUCUAAGCUGGGCGAGGAUAGGACCCCAAAGGGGGGUCCGAGGCCGGGAGAUUCUCCGGGGGGGGAAUGAAGCUAGAUGUGCUUGGUUGACCACUCGGAGGGUCCUGAGCUGUUUGGAGAGUCGAGGAGUUCGGAGGGUCCUGAGCUGCGAGUCGAGGAGUUCGGAGGGGAUCGAAUGGUGGCCAGAAGACUUCAGUAAUUGAGCUCCAACGGCUGUGCACGAAGUGGUUUGGACUUUGAUAAGUUUGGCGCCUUUUCUUUAAUUUUCUCUUCAUAUAUACUGUAUCGUUAUUAAUCACUUAGUUAUAGUAACCUUUAUAAAUUGUACUCAUUUAAUCGCAUAUGGUGUACUGUCUGUUUUUGGGCGAGGCGGGGACAUCACACAGCAUCCACACCAGCUGAUCACCCAGUUUGGCGGGGCCGAUGGCUGCUCCCCCUAGACGAAACGAGCUGAGCCAGCCUGAGGCGACCCAGGGGGUUACACAGAAUUUC